AAGCUAGAAGUAGAAGGAAGCCCUAGAUGAAAGUAGACAUUCACGUUCUCAGCAAUAGCUAGAACACGGUUGCAUGACCUGUAAUAAGAGCAUGAACUGCUACAACCAUAAGAGUUUGGUAUAUUAUGCUCCUUGAAGUCACUGCAAAAGGUCAACCGAAAUAAUGGUGCUCAGGUUAUCCUUUUCCACAUAUAUAAUUUCUCUUCCAUCAAACUGGUAAGAUCAAAUCAUGUAUAGUUCCUACAAAGUAAAAUACCCAUGUAUAGUGCAGUACUAUCGUGCACAAUGCUUUGCCAGGUUAGGCACAUGCAAUUGUUAUGCUAGAUUGUACAUUAGCAGCAGCAACGUAGUGAGGUUAAACACUUGCCUUUGCAACUCGGCUAUUUGCAGCAA
rnacentral:lncRNA from 1 species